rnacentral:rRNA from 1 species
GAAUGACUCUCGGCAACGGAUAUCUCGGCUCUUGCAUCGAUGAAGAACGUAGCGAAAUGCGAUACUUGGUGUGAAUUGCAGAAUCCCGUGAACCAUCGAGUCUUUGAACGCAAGUUGCGCCCAAAGCCAUUAGGCCGAGGGCACGCCUGCCUGGGUGUCACAC